AUUGAACGCUGGCGGCAGGCCUAACACAUGCAAGUCGAACGGUAACAGGAAGAAGCUUGCUUCUUUGCUGACGAGUGGCGGACGUGUGAGUAAUGUCUGGGAAACUGCCUGAUGGAGGGGGAUAACUACUGGAAACGGUAGCUAAUACCGCAUAAUGUCUCAAGACCAAAGAGGGGGACCUUCGGGCCUCUUGCCAUCGGCUUUGCCCAGAUGGGAUUAGCUAGUAGGUGGGGUAACGGCUCACCUAGGCGACGAUCCCUAGCUGGUCUGAGAGGAUGACCAGCCACACUGGAACUGAGACACGGUCCAGACUCCUACGGGAGGCAGCAGUGGGGAAUAUUGCACAAUGGGCGCAAGCCUGAUGCAGCUAUGCCGCGUGUAUGAAGAAGGCCUUCGGGUUGUAAAGUACUUUCAGCGGGGAGGAAGGGAGUAAAGUUAAUACCUUUGCUCAUUGACGUUACCCGCAGAAGAAGCACCGGCUAACUCCGUG
rnacentral:rRNA from 1 species